GGGAGAGGGGGCACAAUGCAAAGGACGCAGGUCAGAUUAGGACGACUACAAUUACUAUGCCAAGGAAAUAACAGUAAUCCUGCCAUGCUGGUAAUCCGCGUCAAACGGAAGAAAUGCACAAAAUCAAUGAGGAUCAGUUGGGUAUACGGACAAGGAGGCACACAAAGGACUCAGUCACAACAGCCAUCUUCCUCCUCCCUGACCUCUUCAAUGAAGAUCCCAGAGGCCCCUACAUUAUAAACAAGACUUCACCCUCCUUAUACCUCUGAUGACUAUAACAGGAAACCUAUGCGAUCACCAUGCACUGCAAAAUCAUUCUGGCUAUGGAUAGCCUAGAGAGGACAUCAACAUGCCAGAGGAUAUAUUCAUUGGACUUGGGGCUUUGUUGGGAGUUUACCUCAUAUUUAGAUUUUUGAAUUCUG